rnacentral:rRNA from 1 species
GCGCGCUACACAUGCAAGUCGAGCGAGACCAGACUUCGGGUCUGGGACAGCGGCGAACGGGUGAGUAACACGUGGGUAAUCAACCCUCGGUACUGGGAUAGCCCGGGGAAACCCGGAUUAAUACCGGAUGGCCCUUUGGAUCUUCGGAUCUGACGGAAAAGGUAGCUUCGGCCUCCGACCGAGGACGAGCCCGCGGCGGAUUAGCUUGUUGGUGGGGUAACGGCUCACCAAGGCGACGAUCCGUAGCUGGUCUGAGAGGACGAUCAGCCACACUGGGACUGAGACACGGCCCAGACUCCUACGGGAGGCAGCAGUGGGGAAUCUUGCGCUAAUGCGGGAAACCGUGACGCAGCGACGCCGCGUGAGGGAAGAAGGCCUUCGGGUUGUAAACCUCUUUCAGGGGGGACGAAGCCACUCGGGUUAAUAGCCCAGAGGGUGACGGUACCUCCAGAAGAAGCCCCGGCUAACUACGUGCCAGCAGCCGCGGUAAUACGUAGGGGGCUAGCGUUGUCCGGAUUUAUUGGGCGUAAAGAGCGUGUAGGCGGCCAGGUAGGUCUGCUGUGAAAACUCGAGGCUCAACCUCGAGACGUCGGCGGAAACCAUCUGGCUAGAGUCCGGAAGAGGAGAGUGGAAUUCCUGGUGUAGCGGUGAAAUGCGCAGAUAUCAGGAAGAACACCCGUGGCGAAGGCGGCUCUCUGGGACGGUACUGACGCUGAGACGCGAAAGCGUGGGGAGCGAACAGGAUUAGAUACCCUGGUAGUCCACGCCGUAAACGAUGGGUGCUAGGUGUGGGCGGUGUCGACUCCGUCCGUGCCGAAGCUAACGCAUUAAGCACCCCGCCUGGGGAGUACGGCCGCAAGGCUAAA